CUAAUAACGGCGAGUGAAGAGGGAAGAGCCCAAGAUUGAAAGCUGGCGUCAUUCACUGGCGUUCCGCAUUGUAAUCUCAAGAAGCGUUCAUCCGCUACGGACCAGGUCCAAUUCUCUUGGAAAAGAGCGUCAUGGAGGGUGAAAAUCCCGUGUAUGACCUGGAGCCGCCGUAGUACUGCGAUGCGUUUUUUCUCAGAGUCGAGUUGUUUGAGAAUGCAGCUCAAAAUGGGUGGUAAAUGCCAUCUAAGGCUAAAUACAGGGGAGAGACCGAUAGCAAACAAGUACCGUGAGGGAAAGAUGCCAAGAACUUUGGAAAGAGAGUUAAACAGUACGUGAAAUUGCCAGAAGGGAAGGGUAGGAAGUCAGAGAUGCGGAGAGGUCGCUCAGCCGGAUGUUUGUAGUGGGCAUGCGGUGUAAGCGACCGAUCGGCAGGUCAACGUCGGUUCUGUGGGCGCGGGAAAGCGGGGCCGGGCCAUGUGGCAUUUCUUCGGAAGUGUGAUUAUAGACCGGCCUUUUGAGUCUGGACCAGCGACGGGAGCCGUAGUUUAGCAGCAUGAUGCUUCCGUGUUCUUUGUCGGAGGAGGGCGUGAAAACCUUUUUCCGGAGGGGCGCGGAGGUGUUAGGUCUUCGGGCACUAUUCAUGCUGAUGGCGUUGACUGAAUGGCU
rnacentral:rRNA from 1 species